GUUAGGUGGUAGUAAAUGUACAGUGUAGGUUUCAGUUUGUCUCUGAAUAAAUGCUACAGAAAGAAAUUUCCCAUGU